GGAUUGUGGCUCAGUGGUAGAGUGCUCGCCUAGCACGUGUGAGGCCCUGGGUUCGAUCCUAGCACCA
rnacentral:tRNA from 1 species